rnacentral:rRNA from 1 species
CAAUAGCGUAUAUUAAAGUUGUUGCGGUUAAAAAGCUCGUAGUUGGAUUUCUGCUGAGAACGACCGGUCCGCCCUUUGGGUGUGUAUCUGGCUCUUUCUUGGCAUCUUCUUGGUGAACGUUGCUGCACUUGACUGUGUGGAGCGCUACCCAGGACUUUUACUUUGAGGAAAUUAGAGUGUUUCAAGCAGGCAUACGCCUUGAAUACAUUAGCAUGGAAUAAUAAGAUAGGACCUCGGUUCUAUUUUGUUGGUUUCUAGAGCUGAGGUAAUGAUUAAUAGGGAUAGUUGGGGGCAUUCGUAUUUAACUGUCAGAGGUGAAAUUCUUGGAUUUGUUAAAGACGGACUACUGCGAUAGCAUUUGCCAAGGAUGUUUUCAUUGA